CCUACGGGAGGCAGCAGUAGGGAAUAUUGCUCAAUGGGGGAAACCCUGAAGCAGCAACGCCGCGUGGAGGAUGAAGGUUUUCGGAUUGUAAACUCCUUUUGUUAGAGAAGAUAAUGACGGUAUCUAACGAAUAAGCACCGGCUAACUCCGUGCCAGCAGCCGCGGUAAUACGAGGGGUGCAAGCGGUACUCGGAAUCACUGGGCGUAAAGAGCGCGUAGGCGGGAUAGCAAGUCAGAUGUGAAAUCCUAUGGCUUAACCAUAGAGCUGCAUUGGAAACUGUUAAUCUAGAGUAUGGGAGAGGUAGGUGGAAUUCUUGGUGUAGGGGUAAAAUCCGUAGAGAUCAAGAGGAAUACUGAUUGCGAAGGCGACCUGCUAGAACAUAACUGACGCUGAUGCGCGAAAGCGUGGGGAGCGAACAGGAUUAGAUACCCUAGUAGUC
rnacentral:rRNA from 1 species